GAUCGUGUACUGCGCAUCGCGUGCUCGCCCUUAUGCCGGAUAGAGCACUACCCUUGGAGGUUAAUUUCUUUUCCACGGCGAAGAAUGCUCCGCGAUUAUGGCAGUUUAACCUUUAACGAUGCAGCUAUGCCUUCGAGGUAUCGGAAGUAAAGAUAGAAAGGAGAGAUUAAACCAUAACUGCUCCUGGUUUUAGCUGGACUAAACCUUCAGGAAUUGGGAAUACUAGACCGUCGAUGUUUAUUAUAUAACUAAAAAAUAGGAAUAACAAAGUAUGUAUUAUUUCAAAUUUCCCCGCGUAUACGCAAGUGACGGUCCGCCACAGGCCUAUAUAUAUGAGGCCCUAUUCGCUGCAUUCGUCAUUCUCUCCAACGACGCCUACGAGGUAGGAUGGGAGCCGGGGCAUCACCAUUGCUCCCGGGGAAGGCUGAUUUGAUCAAGGGUGUACUUUCAGUUAAAAAAGAUGGCGCAGUGAUCAGGACACACGAGAAUUACAAGGAGGACCAGACCCGAAAGGCUCAGUUCGGACGAACCAGGGUAUCGGCAACGCCGCGGUCCAAAAACAGUUCGAGAGGCAAUCGCGGUUUUAAAACGUGCUUCCUGCUACGAUAAAUGGUUUUCGACGGUACCGUUCGUAUGUCACGGCUGCCAGAUCUGCAGCGUAGAGUAUACGCGCCAAACAAAAAUACCCCUCGGUCGGCCUUCGAUGUCAAUAUACAGUGCUAGCCGGAUUAUUGUAAUACCCCAUUGGGGCCCGAGAAUUUACAGAAAAACAGGAUGAAGAAUGUUGUCAUCAGGUUCUUGGGAACAAAAUUGAUGAGCGUCACUUGCGAAGCAGCCAGAUAGGGCAUUGGUCAGGGUUCAGGAUCAUGAGUCAUCGUAUAAUAGAAAUAAAAGAUUUUCUACUUUAUAA